rnacentral:rRNA from 1 species
CCCCUAGAUGUUCUGGGCCGCACGCGCGCUACACUGAACAGUUCAACAAGUCUUAACCUUGGCCGAUAGGUCUGGGUAAUCUUUGAACGCUGUUCGUGAUUGGGAUAGACCUUUGCAAUUAUGGGUCUUCAACGAGGAAUUCCUAGUAAACGCAAGUCAUCAGCUUGCAUUGAUUACGUCCUGCCCUUUGUACACACCGCCCGUCGCACCUACCGAUUGAAUGGUCCGGUGAAAUCUCGGGACGGCGGCUUGGUCGCUUGCGUCCGACUGCUGAAACUUGAUUAAACCAUAUCAUUUAGAGGAAGGAGAAGUCGUANCA